AUCCGAUUGAAAGACCCAUGGUUUCUCUGCUGAACACCAUGGGCUGCAGCAGCCUCGGCCAACACGUUCUGGAUUGCCUGCCCGUGACAGAUGGCAGCUGGAAACCAGCAGGGAGAGAAACCGCCUCUGCUCCUGGAUAAUGAGCUCAGAGCCUCUCAGUGGGAGCUGCACUCACCUCUCGGCCACUCUAUAAUCCAGCAGAGGACAGAGGAAACUAACACAGGACCCAAAGAAAGUUGCGCUGAGCACAGGGAAUUCAAACUAAGGCAUGAGGAUUGAGGAAGUAUUGCUGUUACGGUGGACAAGUCUCACCCAGUGACAGGCGGCCACUGCACCAGGUCACAGAGGAGAUGCAGCUUCUGCUGAGAUGCCACCCAUGGGAACACCUGACUUCCCCCUCCCACGCCCUCCUCCUCCCUUCCCGCCUCCCACAAGCCACAGCAGGGGCUCCCUGAGCUGCCACCCACUGGGGCUUCUUGCCAUCCCUGUCAGGUUCGAGCUCCUCCACUUCCGUGCCCUGGUUCCCUGUGCUAAACUCCCUUUGUUGUGAAUAUCUGGAGUGAUUUUGGUUUCACUGGUGAGCUCCAACCUCCAUGGGGAUCAGGGCCCAGUAGGGUGGGUGUGGGCUGAAUAGCCAGCAAGAGCCUUGAAGUCUGGCAGGAUUGUAGGGUUGGACGAAGAGGGGCAGGGCCUGGGGGGAAAUGAGCAGGGAAUAGUGAAGCAAUUUGAGCAGCGCAGAAGUGGGACUGAGCUAAGGACUUCGCACUUGACCCAACUGGCAACAGGGAGUGAGCAAAGCAGGGUCCCAGGAGGCCACUGACAAUGCUGGACAGGAGCCGUACAUUUGUACACAAUAAAAGGAGCUCCAGAUGCCUCUGCAACUUGGCUUCUGCCCAACUCGUUGUCUUGCCUUGAGUUAGGGGCCUCAGUGAUGAAUGAAGAGGCUUCUGUCCCUUCCAGGCCACCAUAGAAGGAGACACUGGGGGUUUUGAGCCAGCAGGAGAUGUCAUGUGGCUUGAUUUAAAAGGAUACCUCUGGCUACCAUGGGAAGGCCAGAGUGGUAUAGGGGACCAGAUGGAAACUACUUUCGUCCCCUAGGUGGGAGAUGACAGGUGUGAAUCAGGGUGAAAGCAGAACUUCGUGGGGUCCUGUACAAGGCCUGGGACUAUAGGUGACCCAAGACUGACUCAUGACAUUCCUCCAUUGCCCCCCAAUCUCCUUCACUGUCUCUUUGCAGUGAAAAGAUCAGAGCCCCCACUUCUAGGUCAGUGGGACCCCGGGCCUCAGGGAAUGCUGAUGAUGGGCCAUCUCGCUAGAAGCCAGUUUCAGCACACCACCCUCAGGGUGCACCUCCAGCAUCCUCAGGUCUCAGAGGAGCCGACAGCAGACCUGGGAGGUAGAAGGAUGAGGCCCUUUGGCUGGUGAAGGCCAGGCCAUUUCUCACUUGGAACUAGCAUUACAGCCCUGCUCUCCUGAGAUGAGAGGUGGAGACUAGACUCUGGACCAGAUUGAAGACUGGCUGAAACAGGGACGAGGUGAAAGCCCCUCUCCAUAAGACACGUCCACCCACGUGGCCAUUUACCAUCACCAUGGCAACACUUGGAAGUUACCGCCCCUUUCCAUGGCAGCAACCCAGAAGCUACCACCCUCUUUCUAGAAAGUUCUGCAUAACCGGCUCCUUAAUUUGCACGUAAUUAAAAGUGUGUAUAAAUGUGACUGCAGCACUGCCCCGAGCUGCUACACUGGGCACACUGCCUAUGGGGGAGCCCUGCUCAGCAGCGAGCAGAACCUCUGCUGCUGCACACUGCCAUUUCAGUAAAAGCUGCUGUCUAACACCGCCAGUUCAUCCUUGAAUUCUUUCCUGAGCAGAGUCAAAAACCUUCCCAGCCUAAGCCCCAAUUUUAGGGCUCACCUGCCCUGUAUACCAGUGCCCCCUCCUCUACCCCCAAGGCCACUCAUGAGGGAAUUAAAACUGAACCCAAUGCUAAAGCGAUCUGGGUAAUAAAUGUGUUGGGACAUCAAGAAAGCCAUUUGCAAAAAAGAUAAAAUUAAUGCAUUCCUCAUCCCAAGCACAAGAAUAAACCACACAUAGAUCAGGGAACCACAAGUCAUCAUUAAACUAUGGAGUAUUAGAGGUGAUGGGUGAAUUCCUCUACUCUGGGUAAAGAAGACUUUCUAACUGUGAUUGAAAACCAAGAUUGAUAAUUUGAUACAAAAAAACUCAAACAAGAUUUUUUUGCAUGGCAAAAAUACAUCAGCAAAAUCAAAGGACAAAUAGAAAAUUGGGAGAAAAUAUUUGCAACGUAUAUCACAGACAAAAGGCCAAUAUUCUGGCUGGAUGCAGUGGCUCAUGCCUGCAAUCCCAGCACUUUGGGAGGCAGAGGCCAGUGGAUCACGAGGUCAGGAGUUCGAGACUAGCCUGGCCAACGUGGUGAAACCCCAUCUCUACUAAAAAUACAAAAAUUAGUUGGGUGUGGUGAUGCGUGCCUGUAGUCCCAGCUACUCGGGAGGCUGAGGCAGAAGAAUUGCUAGAACCUAGGAGGUGGAGGUUGCAGUGAGCCGAGAUGGCGCCCCUGCACUCCAGCCUGGGCAACAGGGCAAGACUCCAUCUCAAAAAAAAAAAAAAAAAAAAAAAAGCUAGGCUCGGUGGCUCACGCCUGUAAUCCCACACUUUGGGAGACUGAGGUGGGUGGAUGACCUGAAGUCAGGAGUUCGAGACCAGCCUGGCCAACAUGGAGAAACCCCGUCUCUACUAAAAAAUGCAAAA
rnacentral:lncRNA from 1 species